rnacentral:rRNA from 1 species
GACGAACGCUGGCGGCGUGCUUAACACAUGCAAGUCGAACGGAAAGGCCCUGCUUUUGUGGGGUGCUCGAGUGGCGAACGGGUGAGUAACACGUGAGUAACCUGCCCUUGACUUUGUGAUAACUUCAGGAAACUGGGGCUAAUACCGGAUAGGAGCUCCUGCUGCAUGGUGGGGGUUGGAAAGUUUCGGCGGUUGGGGAUGGACUCGCGGCUUAUCAGCUUGUUGGUGGGGUAGUGGCUUACCAAGGCUUUGACGGGUAGCCGGCCCGAGAGGGUGACCGGCCACAUUGGGACUGAGAUACGGCCCAGACUCCUACGGGAGGCAGCAGUGGGGAAUAUUGCACAAUGGGCGGAAGCCUGAUGCAGCAACGCCGCGUGCGGGAUGACGGCCUUCGGGUUGUAAACCGCUUUCGCCUGUGACGAAGCGUGAGUGACGGUAAUGGGUAAAGAAGCACCGGCUAACUACGUG